rnacentral:rRNA from 1 species
CAUUAAUAGUACUUUACAACUGCUAUCCGCCCGGGUACUACGAGCAUCAGCUUAAAACCCAAAGGACUUGGCGGUGCUUUAGAUCCACCUAGAGGAGCCUGUUCUAGAACCGAUAACCCCCGUUCAACCUCACCCUUUCUUGUUUAUCCCGCCUAUAUACCACCGUCGUCAGCUUACCCUGUGAAGGCCCUAUAGUAAGCAAAAUUGGCAAAGCCCAAAACGUCAGGUCGAGGUGUAGCGUAUGAAAGGGGAAGAAAUGGGCUACAUUCUCUGACCCAGGGAACCACGAAUAAUUCAUUGAAACAUGAGUCUGAAGGAGGAUUUAGCAGUAAGUGGAAAAUAGAGCGUUCCGCUGAAACCGGCCCUGAAGCGCGC